GCUAAUUUUGCAGCUUAUGCAUUUGCACCUGCAAUUCUUGUCACACCCUUGGGAGCUUUGAGUAUUAUUUUCAGUGCCGUGCUUGCCCAUUUUAUUCUGAAGGAGAAAUUGCAUAUCUUUGGUGUGCUUGGCUGUGUUCUUUGUGUGGUGGGCUCUACAAGUAUUGUUUUGCAUGCUCCACAGGAAAGAGCUAUGGAAUCAGUUAAGGAAGUGUGGCACCUUGCUACAGAGCCAGGUAUUUUGGAAGUUAUAUUGCAGUCAUUUUCUUUCAAUACUUUCAAAUUUAUUCUUAAUUUUCUUUUAAGGACAUGAAAAGAAGGAAAUUUAAGAAAAGGGAAGAAAUAUUGCAUGCUUAUUGCUCAUACUCUAUGAUGAUGGUCUGCGUAAUGGAACCAUGAAGCUAAUCCAAGUUUACGUUCUAUUCAAGAUUUUACUUCUUAAGCAAAGAAGUAAUAGAUUCUGCGAGAGUUAUUUUUUGUUAGCAGAUCUGUUUGAACAUUUUCAGAUUCAUUUAACCAGAUGGAGAUCAUGCUGAAAACUGCAGAUGGCACAUUAAAUGAAUACUCUUUACUUGAUUUCAUUGGCAUGUGAAAACAGUGGAUGCCAUCAUUUGGUGCAGAUUGAAACUAUAAACCAUGCCAAUUAAAGAGCUUUGCAAUGAUCUUAUUGUGAGAAAAUGAAUGAAGUCUGUGGAUUUAGAUGCCAUUCAAGGUAUAGGCAUAAGUAUGUGGAGUUUCAUGUACCAUGUAUACCAAUCCAAUUCACAAGGGCCAUGAUUUGGAAACUUAUGUUCAUCUCAUUUCUGGUUAAGAAAGCAAAACAUAUUUAUUUUUUGAGGAAGAUUGAAAAUACUGGAUUUGUUACCUUAUGCUUUUAAUAACAAUAAAAGAACAAGCAAUUUCUUGGACAUCUUAUACUCAAUUAAAAUUUCAUCAAAUCUUUUUAGUUACAUGAAACUGAUAUUUUUUUUAGCAGGUUUUCUUGUCUACACUGGCCUAGUACUAAUUGCUGUUGCUGUACUCAUUUUCCGAUAUGUACCACGCUAUGGGCAAACCCAUAUGGUUGUUUAUGUUGGAAUUUGCUCUCUCAUGGGCUCUCUUACGGUCUGUCUAUCAUAUUUGAAGGUUGUAAUGAUUAGGAACUUUCAUUUUAAUUCUUGAUAUUAAUAAUCAUUUGUAUUAAUGUAGGUAAUGGGCGUAAAAGCAGUGGGAAUUGCUUUAAAACUCACUUUUUCUGGACUGAAUCAAUUUAUCUACUUUCAGACAUGGCUGUUUACUAUAAUAGUGGUUUUUUGCUGUCUUUUGCAGGUGAACUACUUGAACAAGGUAAAUUUUAGAGAUUAUCCUUGAGUUUAAUAUUAUAUUUGUAUGAAAGUGCCCAAUGUUGCUCUGAGUGUCUGGUUGUUAGAGCCGUAGAUAUAGUAGCAAUCAUUUACAUAUUCUUUCUUGUAUUUUCAUUUCUUCCAUUGAUCUACUACUACUAUGGAUGACCUAGCCUUUUACAUAACAUCUAUUUGUGGUUAAAUUUACAUAUGAACCACAUGUCAGAGGGUAGAGAUUGUGGAUAGCAUAGGCAUUUGGCCAUUCGAUGUUGUGAUCUAAUUAAAAGUAGCUUUUAUAAGUUUUAACUUGUUUUGUUGGGAAAAGAAACAAAUUAUCCUUUUUAUUUUUGCGUAGGAUGUAGCUUAAUUCAAAGAGGAAAAGGAACACUGAUUUUGGGUACAAUUUAAUUGUAUUAUUCAUGAUGGUCUUGGAUUGUUUUCUUUCACAACAUUUGUAGAAGCUAGUUCUUUUUGUUUGUUUUAAGGGUUCCUAAAUCCUCCCAUUCAUUUUCUACCUGUCUAAAUUGAAAAUUAUACUCACGUACAAACUGCUUUUAAAAUUCUUCAAUUUCUUCUUUAGUGGAAACAUUUUGAUCUCAAAAUUUGCAGCACUAACCAGAAACAUAUUCCGCUCCUGCUAGGCAAUUGCUUAACCCAGAUUCCUAUAUCUUUGCAGGCAUUGGACACCUUCAAUACAGCAGUUAUAUCUCCAGUUUACUAUGUCAUGUUUACAACCUUCACCAUCCUUGCCAGCAUGAUCAUGUUUAAGGAAUGGGACUCACAAGAAGCAUCACAGAUUGUAACUGAAUUGUGUGGUUUUGUCACAAUCCUGUCUGGUACCUUUCUCCUUCACAGAACAAAGGAUAUGGGAGGCAGUCCAAGUCCAUCAGGGGAAUCUCCUGUCUUUACAAAUACGAAUUCUUCAUCAGGGGAAUCUCCAGCUUUUACAAACACAAAUUCCCACGGGGGCAUGAAUUCUGAACAGCAGCACAUAUCAUAGUUUUAAGCAAUGCAAGAGACAAUAUUGAACAGUUACAUUGAAAGAUCUUGUCACCAAGCAUAUGGAGGAGAAAACAUUUUCUUAGCUGAUGGAUACACAUACGCUUGAUGAUUAGAAAGCCAAGAUGGAAAAAUUAUAUUGAAAAAUAAAGAGAUGGGGAUUUGCAUUGCGAAAUGAUAUGUGUUUGGAUUCUGAUAUACUUGGUGACAUUUUCUUUCUCACUUUUCUUGAGAAAACAAGAGUUGUGUGUGAAUAUGUUGGGAAAGAUGAUGACUGUUUUGUGGGGCAGCUGUUUUUACAAAGACUAGUGCCAGAUCAGUUGAUUCUUGAAUCUGUGAAAGAAUUGUACUUAUUUGUGCUCUUUUUUGAGUUGACUCAAAACCUUUUCCUUGUUCUCUCUUUAUUUAUUAUUGAAGUUUACUGUAAUAAGCAAUCUGUCAUCAUAUUAUAACAAUUUUAAUUCCUAUAUAUGAAGAAAAACUUCACCCAUGAAUGUUUAAAAGAAA
rnacentral:misc_RNA from 1 species